rnacentral:rRNA from 1 species
CGUUAAUCGGAAUUACUGGGCGUAAAGCGCGCGUAGGCGGUUGUGCAAGUUGGAGGUGAAAUCCCCGGGCUUAACCUGGGCACUGCCUUCAAAACUGCACGGCUAGAGUAUGGGAGAGGAAGGUAGAAUUCCAGGUGUAGCGGUGAAAUGCGUAGAGAUCUGGAGGAAUACCGAUGGCGAAGGCAGCCUUCUGGCCUAAUACUGACGCUGAGGUGCGAAAGCAUGGGGAGC